UUGAAGAACAGGUAGAUGAAUGAUAUGCUA
rnacentral:piRNA from 1 species